AGACCCGAAACCCGGUGAUCUAGCCAUGGGCAGGUUGAAGGUUGGGUAACACUAACUGGAGGACCGAACCGACUAAUGUUGAAAAAUUAGCGGAUGACCUGUGGCUGGGGGUGAAAGGCCAAUCAAACCGGGAGAUAGCUGGUUCUCCCCGAAAGCUAUUUAGGUAGCGCCUCGUGAAUUCAUCUCCGGGGGUAGAGCACUGUUUCGGCUAGGGGGCCAUCCCGGCUUACCAACCCGAUGCAAACUGCGAAUACCGGAGAAUGUUAUCACGGGAGACACACGGCGGGUGCUAACGUCCGUCGUGAAGAGGGAAACAACCCAGACCGCCAGCUAAGGUCCCAAAGUCAUGGUUAAGUGGGAAACGAUGUGGGAAGGCCCAGACAGCCAGGAUGUUGGCUUAGAAGCAGCCAUCAUUUAAAGAAAGCGUAAUAGCUCACUGGUCGAGUCGGCCUGCGCGGAAGAUGUAACGGGGCUAAACCAUGCACCGAAGCUGCGGCAGCGACGCUUAUGCGUUGUUGGGUAGGGGAGCGUUCUGUAAGCCUGCGAAGGUGGCCUGUGAGGGUUGCUGGAGGUAUCAGAAGUGCGAAUGCUGACAUAAGUAACGAUAAAGCGGGUGAAAAGCCCGCUCGCCGGAAGACCAAGGGUUCCUGUCCAACGUUAAUCGGGGCAGGGUGAGUCGACCCCUAAGGCGAGGCCGAAAGGCGUAGUCGAUGGGAAACGGGUUAAUAUUCCCGUACUUGGUGUUACUGCGAAGGGGGGACGGAGAAGGCUAUGUUGGCCGGGCGACGGUUGUCCCGGUUUAAGCGUGUAGGUGUGUGUUCCAGGUAAAUCCGGUUCACUUUAACACUGAGGCGUGACGACGAGGCACUACGGUGCUGAAGCAACAAAUGCCCUGCUUCCAGGAAAAGCCUCUAAGCAUCAGGUAACAUCAAAUCGUACCCCAAACCGACACAGGUGGUCAGGUAGAGAAUACCAAGGCGCUUGAGAGAACUCGGGUGAAGGAACUAGGCAAAAUGGUGCCGUAACUUCGGGAGAAGGCACGCUGACACGUAGGUGAAGUGAUUUACUCAUGGAGCUGAAGUCAGUCGAAGAUACCAGCUGGCUGCAACUGUUUAUUAAAAACACAGCACUGUGCAAACACGAAAGUGGACGUAUACGGUGUGACGCCUGCCCGGUGCCGGAAGGUUAAUUGAUGGGGUCAGCGCAAGCGAAGCUCCUGAUCGAAGCCCCGGUAAACGGCGGCCGUAACUAUAACGGUCCUAAGGUAGCGAAAUUCCUUGUCGGGUAAGUUCCGACCUGCACGAAUGGCGUAAUGAUGGCCAGGCUGUCUCCACCCGAGACUCAGUGAAAUUGAACUCGCUGUGAAGAUGCAGUGUACCCGCGGCAAGACGGAAAGACCCCGUGAACCUUUACUAUAGCUUGACACUGAACAUUGAGCCUUGAUGUGUAGGAUAGGUGGGAGGCUUUGAAGCGUGGACGCCAGUCUGCGUGGAGCCGACCUUGAAAUACCACCCUUUAAUGUUUGAUGUUCUAACGUGGACCCGUUA
rnacentral:rRNA from 1 species